UGGACUGCCUUUUGCAUAAUGAGCCUGCGAGUUGUGGUGUCUGGCAAGGUUAAGCAAACGCGAAGCCGUAGCGAAAGCGAGUCUGAAUAGGGCGCUUAGUCAGAUGCUGCAGACCCGAAACGAAGUGAUCUAUCCAUGAGCAAGUUGAAGCUAGUGUAAGAACUAGUGGAGGACUGAACCCAUAGGCGUUGAAAAGCCCCGGGAUGACUUGUGGAUAGGGGUGAAAGGCCAAUCAAACUUCGUGAUAGCUGGUUCUCUCCGAAAUAUAUUUAGGUAUAGCGUUGUGUCGUAAUAUAAGGGGGUAGAGCACUGAAUGGGCUAGGGCAUACACCAAUGUACCAAACCCUAUCAAACUCCGAAUACCUUAUAUGUAAUCACAGCAGUCAGGCGGCGAGUGAUAAAAUCCGUCGUCAAGAGGGAAACAACCCAGACUACCAGCUAAGGUCCCUAAAUCUUACUUAAGUGGAAAACGAUGUGAAGUUACUUAAACAACCAGGAGGUUGGCUUAGAAGCAGCCAUCCUUUAAAGAAAGCGUAAUAGCUCACUGGUCUAGUGAUUUUGCGCGGAAAAUAUAACGGGGCUAAAGUAAGUACCGAAGCUGUAGACUUGCGCACAACUUAGAUUAUUUAAGUUUAGAAUAUGAGAAACUAAGUUAUAUGUUUAGUUAUAUUUUUACUGAUUUUUAUAGAGUAAAGAUAGAAAUAAAACUUAGUAAAAUCAGUAAAAAUAUUCUUAGACUAAAGUUAAGUAGUUUAAGUUGUGUGCAAGUGGUAGGAGAGCGUUCUAUUUGCGUCGAAGGUAUACCGGUAAGGAGUGCUGGAGCGAAUAGAAGUGAGCAUGCAGGCAUGAGUAGCGAUAAUUAAUGUGAGAAUCAUUAACGCCGUAAACCCAAGGUUUCCUACGCGAUGCUCGUCAUCGUAGGGUUAGUCGGGUCCUAAGUCGAGUCCGAAAGGGGUAGACGAUGGCAAAUUGGUUAAUAUUCCAAUACCAACAUUAGUGUGCGAUGGAAGGACGCUUAGGGCUAAGGGGGCUAGCGGAUGGAAGUGCUAGUCUAAGGUCGUAGGAGGUUAUACAGGCAAAUCCGUAUAACAAUACUCCGAGAACUGAAAGGCUUUUUGAAGUCUUCGGAUGGAUAGAAGAACCCCUGAUGCCGUCGAGCCAAGAAAAGUUUCUAAGUUUAGCUAAUGUUGCCCGUACCGUAAACCGACACAGGUGGGUGGGAUGAGUAUUCUAAGGCGCGUGGAAGAACUCUCUUUAAGGAACUCUGCAAAAUAGCACCGUA
rnacentral:rRNA from 1 species